CCUACGGGUGGCAGCAGUGAGGAAUAUUGGUCAAUGGACGAGAGUCUGAACCAGCCAAGUAGCGUGAAGGAUGACUGCCCUAUGGGUUGUAAACUUCUUUUAUAUGGGAAUAAAAUGUUCCACGUGUGGGCUUUUGUAUGUACCCUAUGAAUAAGUAUCGGCUAACUCCGUGCCAGCAGCCGCGGUAAUACGGAGGAUCCGAGCGUUAUCCGGAUUUCUUGGGUUUAAAGGGAGCGUAGGUGGUGUGUUAAGUCAGUUGUGAAAGUUUGCGGCUCAACCGUAAAAUUGCAGUUGAAACUGGCAGGAUUGAGUACAGUAGAGGUGGGCGGAAUGCGUGGUGUAGCGGUGAAAUGCUUAGAUAUCACGAAGAACUCCGAUUGCGAAGGCAGUGCACUGGACUGCAACUGACACUGAGGCUCGAAAGUGUGGGUAUCAAACAGGAUUAGAUACCCGAGUAGUC
rnacentral:rRNA from 1 species